UAUGCACAGAGCACAGGAGACUGCAGAGAGAGCAGAAAAAGGCCAGGAAUAAAACUCUGCAAGUUUAAACAGUGGGAGAAGGCAAAAUGAGGAUACAGAAGGAGCAAAAAUCAAAAUACAUAACACGGCAGUGACUGAAAUCGAGGUAGAAGCCUUUGCAGUUGCAUAUUUUUUUCCAUAUAGAUGGGAACUUGCAAGGUACAAAAUUAUUGAGAACUGUGAAGAUCCAUGUGCAUUCAGAGGGUGGCAGGAGCCCUUGGUCUGACAAYGUCUUACUUGUUUGCUGCUCCUUGGGGCAGUAGGGGCUAAUCAAGAUCCUUCAGAGGAAACAGCUUGCUGUCAUUUAGAAUGAAAUGCCCUGCUGGUUCAGGUGGGUCUUCAAACCAGUUUUGCUGCAGAAACCGAGAAAUGCCUCUGUUCUGUUGGGAAAUGUCUCACUGGAGAAGUGGAAGGCCCCAGUCUGUCCCUGGGGUGCCCAAAGACACUGACAAGUUUGGUUGGUCCUCACCAAAGAAGCUUUGAAUUUCUUCUUUGCCUGGCUCAUUCUGUGCCAAGGGAAAAUCUCCCUGUAUCUUCUAGUUUGGAGCCUUGUUUUGCUAGGAACCAUCCAAGUGCUGCAUGUGGAUCUACUCCCCACCCUCAAAAAUUUCCGUCAAAAUAAAGAAUUGAGAGAAUGAGUGGGAGAGGAUGACCUGGAGAUGGUCAAAACAUAAGACAACUGCUAAGAUUAGAACUGAGAUUUGCUUCAAAAAGACAAAAAAUGAAAGGACAAAUUUGUUUCCCUUUGCGCUCCACUCUCUUCCCCU